UCUCAUCGAUUUGAGUUGCACCGUUUUGAUCAUCAAGAUACUCUUCACAAAUUUGAUUUUCUUCAUGAUUUGGAUCAGAUUUUUCUUUCCAAAUUGAGGCUUCUGUAUUUUCGCUGUUUGGUUGAAUUUCUUCUUCUUCUUGAAUUUCAUUCUCUUCCUGCAAAUCUUCCCCUCCAAUUUUCAAUAGCAUUCUCCACGCUUCUCAUGCCGUCUUUAUCAUUGAAAUUUUUCCAACCAACGAUAGAUCCACUGCUUGAAAAAUAUAUGAUAGAACUUCUGUCUCUCUUUUUAAAUUCCUCUUUACCAAAUUCUUUUUCAUAAUUUCUAUUCUCCACUACAUCCCACAAAUUUUGGGAUUCUAAAAAACUGUGACCCUCAGAGGGUCUGAAAAUUUGUCAUAUUUCUAUUCUCCACUUUAAUCUGUCACGCCCCGGGGUCCCUUUUAGUUUAAAAGGUAGCGGAAAAGCGUCUGAAAAUUUUUUUUUGAAAAUCUGACCCCAGAGUGUGCCAGAUCCGCCACAAAUACAGGAGCUCCACUGUUUACACGGACAGAGUCUCCCCUGUAUUUGCACGGCGUCGCACAAGUACAACAGAGUAUAGAUACACAUAAAAUCACAACCACAACCAGAUGAACAACAAGAUAGAUAACAUUCAUCCAUUCCAUUCACACACGCAGAUAUGAUACUUGAAUUAUGAAUAACAUUCCACAUCUAUCAGUUAAAAUGUUUCCUACCUGGAAACUGAUUUUGAAAUACUAAGUCCAUAAAACCACAGAGAAAUCAAUUUAAAAACUAAUCCCCACACGGGAACCAUUCUUUUUCAAACCAGCUACCACGAGGGGUAGAAAACUGUUUUAUUUCAAGAAAAACUCAAAUCCUUUAAUACAUUUCAAAACCAAUUGAAAACCCAGAUAAUCCGAUAAUAAAAUAGAACUGAACCAUAAUAUGUCUAAGUAUUUAUUCAAGCAUGAAGGGUAAAAGAAAUAACCGACUCGGGAAGGAGCUCUAUCGCACGCUAGACACGCUCCUCACCAGCUGUCCCACUCGGACCGGCUACGUCACCUGUAAUGGGGGCGGGGGGUGAGAACAUGUAAACAUGUCUCCCCUCCCAGUGGGUACCGCAAGCCGAAGGAGGCGAGGGGUA
rnacentral:lncRNA from 1 species